rnacentral:tRNA from 1 species
GGAAAGGUGCUCGAGUGGUUGAAGAGGCACGCCUGGAAAGCGUGUAUACGCCAAAAGCGUAUCGGGGGUUCGAAUCCCCCUCUUUCCG